UCACGCCCCACCUCGGGCCCGCCUCCGGCCGCCAUCUCCAGUGUGGCUGGAUGUAAAGUGAGCAAGCUAGAAACCCGAGAAGGGAGGAGAGGGAUGGGGAUCAAAUGUAUCAGAAAGGAGCUAAAUCUGAUGCCUACUCAACGUGAAGACAAUGAGAAGCCCUUUGUGAUGAUCCACGUCCACCUAAUGAAUAGAAGAAGAAACAGAUGGGAUUGGUGAGCAUCUAGCCAAUUUCCACCACAAAUGCUCAUUUUGGCUGCCUCCAGGCCAAAGGUAAAAACUAAAAAGCCAGAGAAUACUAAAUGUUGGCCAAGAUGAGGAAAACAGAAACUCUCAUCCUCUGCUAGUUGGAAUGAAAAUUGAUGCAACGUCCCUGGAAAACAGUUUGGUAUUACCUAGCAAAGUAGAACCUGUGCCUCCCCUACAACCCAGCAAUUCCACUCCUGGUAUACAAUCAAAAUAAACUUUUGUACUUGUAUCCCAAAUAA
rnacentral:lncRNA from 1 species